UUAACAAGAAGAGAAGAUGAGAGAGAGUGCACUGCAAGUUUUGAAAGGGGGAGUAGCUGGCACCAGCAAGGGAAAGACUUCAUCUUUCGAUGUCGCAGAGAAGAGAAGAAGAAAACAACAGUGAAGAAACAAAGAACGACGGAAGAAGGAGAAGAGGGUGGCGUCGACAGUGACGGUCACAGAAAAGGAUGCUAGAUCCACAGAGAAAAGAAGAGAAAUGAGGCGACCGCGGUGAUGGAUGCCACCGCCGCUGUUGGAUCCGUAAAACUGUGUCCAUUUACCUAUCAAGCAGCAUUCUACAGAGUGAUCCAUUUGAGAGAUGGUGUCAAGCUUUGGAUAGAAUAAAUUGAAAAAGCUAAAUCAGCUCUGUCUAAGGAUGAGGCUGAGCUUUCAAAAUUGAAAAAAAUAAGAAAUCACACUUAAAGAUAUUGUGUAACAGCUACGCAGUAUCCUUUUUCUUUCAUGCUGCUCAUGACUGACUCUGAACUUGAAUGUAAUGAAAAAUGACUGCCAGAUGCACCAGACAGGACACUGGCUGCCAAUAUUGAAGGUGGCUGAAGCAUUGCAUUUUUAGGCACUGUCUAAGUCUCUAAGACAUUACCUGUAGACGAACUGCUUUAUUUAAAAGAGCAGUUUACACUUUUGGAGCCAAACAAAAACGGAACCAUUAGCCUAGAAAACAUCAAAGCGGUUAGUUUUGUUUCAAAUUCUUUUUAUAUACUUGGUUAAGAUGAUGGUAUUUGCUAUCUCACAAAUUUGACAUGGUCAGGCCUCGAUGAAAAAGGCAACAAAUGCUAUGGAAUCACGCAUUCUUGACUUUUCUGGAUCAGUAAGUUCUAUGAUUUAACUGUACCAAUGCUUCCAUACAUUAUAUAAAUAGCAUUUGCACCAAUAGUGCUCGCUGAUUAAAAUGAAUUUAGGUUGCAGCUUAAUGCAUGGCAAUAUAGAAGGAUGGAUUUUGAUGAGUUUUGUGCAGCUACACUCAGUGUUCAUCAACUUAAAGCACUUGAUAGGUUGGAGCAACAUGCACGGUGUUCUUAUGAACAUUUUGAAAAGGACGGAAACAGCUCUAUAAUCAUCGAGGAACUAGCUUU